UGCUACGUCCAUGUGAUUUGCCUGUGUAGCCCCAGUGCCUAGCAGAGUGCUUGGCAGAUACGCUGGGUGCCAAGAAAGCAAUGGCCAAAUGCACGAAUUCACAAAGGAUGGAAGGAGGAGUCCAUAGGCCAGUGCACAGUGCCCAAAGGACAGAGCUGAGGCUGCUGGUCAGGACAGCUUCAGGCUCUGGCCAGGCUCCAGCACACAGCUGGAGGCACCCGUGACUCUAGCUGGGAGGGGCUGGAAGAUCCAGGCAGCCCCUGACCGCCCUCCUUCCCCUUAGUCAUGUCCAGUUCUGUAAACAAAUUCUCAACUGCACCAGAAGGCCUGACAGUUAAGAGAACCCAGUGAAGAAACCUUUUGCAGAGAGAGAAAAGAACCCUUUUGAAUGUGAUCAAUCACGCUGAUUUAUUUGGAUGAUUUCUCUUCUGGAUUUCCUUAAACCAGGGAAAACCCAGGGACAGCAAUUGCUAUAAUUGAUGCAAACGAUCCCAGCCACACUCCCUGAUCCUGGUUCUGAAACUCAGAGAUGCAGCUGACCAGACUGAUGUGGCCAGCCUCACUCUGAAGGAUCCUGCAGCAGACAAAUUGCUGGAAUGUGUUCAGACGGAAUCCAGCUGCUACAACCGUCACACAAACUUCCUGAAAUAGAGGACAAAAGGUAGCAACUUGUCGCUUCUUGAGCCAAGAGAUUUAGGACAUGAGACCAAAUGAGAGAGAUUAAAAUAAAAAACGCAAGAAGUUAGUGAAAUGAGGAUUUAGCUCACCAGGCCAAAGCAGGCAGUCUUGGGUCUUUGCUGGACAGUUGUAGCUGCCAUAUAAGCUGUCCCUGCCAGGGCUGGGAUCUGGAGGCUGAUGCUGAAACCUCGGCCUGGAAAUGAUGCUGAUGAAGCAGGGCUCUGACAGCCCCUGCACUCUCAGAGGUCUGGGCAGCACAGAUGAAAUUAUCACUCCAAGAUCCUCAAAGCAUCCAGGAAAAAAGCACAUCUA
rnacentral:lncRNA from 1 species